rnacentral:SRP_RNA from 1 species
GCUGGGUGCGGUGGCACAUGCCUGUAAUCCCAGCUACUCAGGAGGCUGAGGCAGGAGAAUCGCUUGAACCUAGGAGGCGGAGGUUGCAGUGAGCCGAGAUCGUGCCAUUGUACUCCAGCCUGGGUGACAGAGUGAGACUCUGUCUCCAAAAAAAAAAAGAAUCUUAGACCUUUUUUUUUUUUUUUUUGAGACAGUCUCGCUCUGUCACCAGGCGCCAGGCUGGAGUGCAGUGAUGCGAUCUUGACUCACUGCAACCUCCACCUCCUGGGUUCAAGCAAUUCUGCCUCA